rnacentral:rRNA from 1 species
GAUGAACGCUGGCGGCGUGCCUAAUACAUGCAAGUCGAGCGAACAGACGAGGAGCUUGCUCCUCUGACGUUAGCGGCGGACGGGUGAGUAACACGUGGAUAACCUACCUAUAAGACUGGGAUAACUUCGGGAAACCGGAGCUAAUACCGGAUAAUAUAUUGAACCGCAUGGUUCAAUAGUGAAAGACGGUUUUGCUGUCACUUAUAUAUGGAUCCGCGCCGCAUUAGCUAGUUGGUAAGGUAACGGCUUACCAAGGCAGCGAUGCUUAGCCGACCUGGGAGAGUGAUCGGCCACACUGGGAAUGAGACACGGUCCAGAAUCCUACAGGAGGCAGCAGUAGGGAAUCUUCCGCAAUGGGCGGAAGCCUGACGGAGCAACGCCGAGUGAGUGACGAAGGUCUUCGGAUCGUAAAACUCUGUUAUUAGGGAAGAACAAAUGUGUAAGUAACUAUGCACGUCUUGACGGUACCUAAUCAGAAAGCCACGGCUAACUACGUG